UACAGAGGUCUCAAGCGUUGUUCGGAUUCAUUGGGCGUAAAGGGCGCGUAGGCGGCGGGGUAAGUCGGGUGUGAAAUCUCAGAGCUCAACUCUGAAAUGGCACUUGAUACUGCUCUGCUAGAGGACUGGAGAGGAGAUUGGAAUUCACGGUGUAGCAGUGAAAUGCGUAGAUAUCGUGAGGAAGACCGGGUGGCGAAGGCGGAUCUCUGGACAGUUCCUGACGGCUGAGGCGCGAAGGCCAGGGGAGCAAACGGG
rnacentral:rRNA from 1 species